rnacentral:rRNA from 1 species
UGUCAGCCGCCGCGGUAAUACGUAGGGUGCAGGCGUUAAUCGGAAUUACUGGGCGUAAAGCGUGCGCAGGCGGUUUCUUAAGUCAGAUGUGAAAGCCCCGGGCUUAACCUGGGAACUGCGUUUGAAACUGGGAGACUUGAGUGUGGCAGAGGGGGGUGGAAUUCCACGUGUAGCAGUGAAAUGCGUAGAUAUGUGGAGGAACACCGAUGGCGAAGGCAGCCCCCUGGGUCAACACUGACGCUCAUGCACGAAAGCGUGGGGAGCAAACAGGAUUAGAUACCCUGGUAGUCCACGCCCUAAACGAUGUCAACUGGUUGUCGGGGGAUUGAUUCCCUUGGUAACGAAGCUAACGCGUGAAGUUGACCGCCUGGGGAGUACGGCCGCAAGGUUAAAACUUAAAGGAAUUGACGG